rnacentral:tRNA from 1 species
GCCCGGGUGGUGGAAUUGGCAUACACGCAAGACUUAAAAUUUUGUGGGAGCAAUCCCGUGUGAGUUCGAGUCUCACCCCGGGCA